GUUAAUUUGGUUUAAUUAUGACAUCAAAGUGCAACUGUGGGGCUGAACAAAGACUGUCACAAUGGAGUAUGUUCCAGGCUUGUUGUGCAAAAGGACACGUCUAGGGAAAGGCUGCUGUGUAUGCUUCUUCAGAAUAGAAAGGAAGCUUUUACCUUCAAGUUCCUGUGUCUGCCCUGGCAAGCCAGUUGAGAAGUUCAGCUGCUUAAACUUCAGUGACAGAAUUUAAAGAAAAACUUCCAGGAAAGUAAGUCAACAAUGCAAAGCAGGAAGCAAACUGUGUGCCAUCAGAGAGCAAAGCAGUACAAUACUCAAGGGGUCUGAGUACACUUUCCUCGCAGUUCAGCCAUGAACAUGACUUGCUGGUUUCAGAAUCAUCAACUAGUAGAAAAUACGUUUUAGUGUGUUUGUCUGUUUGUUUUAAAUAAAGAUAUUAAUGAAA
rnacentral:lncRNA from 1 species